UUAACGUUGAUAGUUAAACCGGAAGUGAAUUUGUGCUUUCGUCUCGUUUUGAAAGUUAAAGCAGAAACUUUAUCUGCAAGCAGUCUAACAGACAAAACAAGUCCAUGAUUACAGCCAAUUGUAAUUAAGGAUUAAGCCUUGAGCACAGUUUGGUUAUUGGAUGCUCUUGGUCAAAUGUCAACUCCGUGUUAAAAGUGUUCACAUGUCUAUAUCGUAGUCGAAGUGACCCUCAGCCGAGGAUGUGUUACGAGGAUGUUAGUCUGAUGUGCUUCGAAACGCAUGCGCGACAAUGUUUUAAGUGGUCGUGCUUCAAAAUGGCCGGAGUCCGUGAUGGCCGGACCAGACAUUUGCUGCACCAGGCUCUGCGGCUCCAAAUCUUGUUCUUUUGUUUUUCACCAACAGCGUCUUGAGUCUGCAUGUCCAGAACGACACACAAAGGUUCGUCUUCCUAUCAGGACAAACUGUCAGAAAUAAGCUUUUUUCUAACUGGUGCCGUUGAACAAGCGAUAUCCAUUAUUGUGCGGCACACCGCGGAAGGCGAGACCAACUACACGACCCUGUGUAUGCUACAGCAAAAGAAAGAUGAAUGCUCGUCGAAUGUUCCCGAAGUGUGUGUUUGUGAGGCUCAGAAGUUCCGGUACAGAUUACGAAAACGCUUUCAACUCAAGGACACCGGGACGGUAGUCUUUGUCAUCUGGGAACAAUCCCGGGGGGAGAAAAAAGUGGAGAUCGUAAUUAUUCCUCAAGUCCUGUCUACCAGGUCGGUCACAAUCCCAAAAAGUCGUUACUGAAACUGACAGGUACGACCAGCAGUCAGCACGAGAGUGGACAACCAUCCAGGCUAUCGACAACUCCACAGUUUUGUUGGGACUGACACCCUCAACAGCUAACCACAGCAACAGCCUCAACCUCAACAUCGUCGUCGUCCUCACGUGCGUGGCCAUCGUCGUCUGUGCGGUUAUCGUAUUUAUCGUCGCUGCUAAAUGUCUGUUUAGAAAAUACAGCUCGGGCAGUCGUCUGCAGCAAGAACUCUUUGUCCUUUCUGGCAACAGCACGUCUGCACGAACCGGAGACACUGGCCUCCUGUCCGCCAGUUUUACUAGCGACAGAAAUUUGGCGCCAGAACACUACGACCACACCUUUCAGCCGACCAAAAUCGAAGAUGAAAACGCUUACUCGGAAAUAAACAGUUACGACGACGGAACUUACCUCAGUGCUGUAGAACGAAACUUACCUGAGUACGUCAACACCACACCUCAGCAUCCUGUCACGUGACAGAUGUCUCCCAGAGACAGUCCAUUAGCUUACAUUCACAUGAAGGCAUCUGUGAUGAAUAUUAAAUAAUUGAUAAAACCACAAAAUGCAUUGCAGAUAUUCUGAUACUACUUAUCACUGAAAAGGGAAAUAUAUUUAAAACUUUAGAGAAUUCGAUUCAAGAUGCAAGUGCGUUUAAAAAGGCAUGAUGAUACUCAGAGACUGAAAAACUAGUAGGAAGUGUUUCUUUUUUUUCCAUUGGCUGGGUAAAGCCAAGUGCAAGAAACUAUUUCCCCGACGCCGGGGGAACACAUUUUAUCAACACACUUUUUUCAUCAUGAAUAAAGAAUGAAAAUGAAAAUAGGGUAUUCAUCAAGAUUUAAGGAAAUCGUGUCCCAUACUGAGCUUUACGAGGGCUUUAAAAUAUGUGAUUUCUGUCAGAUAAAUGAAUACGGGAGAAUGCGUAAAUGAAACUAAACGAGGGACUAAAUAAUAAAUGAAUAUGUAUAUAUAUAUAUAUAACUUUGCAUGUAAUUUUGUCUAUAAUUUAAUACAUAUUUUAGUAUGUAUAGACGUGUGCUUGUAGUACAUUUGUACAUGUUAUUGAUGUUCAUUUGAAAUCAACGCAAAAAGUUUGGGUGAAAUUAAAGACCAACUUCUUUGGACACAAUCUCCUAAGUGAAG